CAGAAAGUGUUUCACAUCGAUAUCAAUUGAUCUUGAAUUGGAAUCUCAUUUAAUUUAACAAAUAAACUUUCAACGCAGUUUGACUCCACUAUAAAGCUCAGGCAAGAUAAUAAUCAUUAUUUACUCAUCAAAAUAAUGUCAUCUUAUCUUUUGUGCCUAUACAGUACCCAAAUCCUCAUCUGGAGUUGUGCCUCGUCUCCUUGAGUUUAUGCAACGGGAUGACGACCCUUUUCUACAGGUUAAAACUUUUUCAGAGCGGAGAUUAUGAUAUGCUCAUGUCAAGUGUAAUCUCCUCUCUCACUCUAGUUCUCUAGGAUGUGGCGGCUGAGACUGUAGCACUCAUUGCUUCUGGAACAUUCGAGCACACCAAGUGUGUAGUCGACUUAGGUGCUCUUCCAAUCUUUGUUAAGCUUCUUGAUCCUUCCUCUGAUGCUGAUGCGCGUGCCAAGAUACUUGGUGGAGCAGAAUUGCAUAAAGCCGUUAUGUGAUCUCCUGGUGUAUUCAGAUUCAAGAAUCAUCUCAUAUUGUCUGGACGGAUUGGAGAACAUUCUGAGGGCUGGAGAGGCAGAGAAGAAGAAACCAGGAGAAGUGAACUGUUAUUCCCAACUGAUCGUUGAUGCACAAGGUAAAGAAUAGAUUAGGAACCUGCAUAGACACAAAGAGCAUGAGUUCAAAGUUUUCAGGAUUCUCAAGACAUACUGCCGCCUCCUACGUGAAGCUUGAAGGUUUCAAACUCCAAAAAGGAUGAUCAGAGUCUCUCUAUACCAUUGUUUCCUUAGGGCUAUUUUGUGUUUUUAUUUUUGAUCACAACUGGCAAAAGAAACAAACCAAAAUAAAUAUAACAAAUCAAGUUUUCAAGCAAAUCA